rnacentral:rRNA from 1 species
AUUGAACGCUGGCGGCAUGCCUUACACAUGCAAGUCGAACGGCAGCGGGGGAGAAGCUUGCUUUUCCUGCCGGCGAGUGGCGAACGGGUGAGUAAUACAUCGGAACGUGCCCUGUAGUGGGGGAUAACUAGUCGAAAGAUUAGCUAAUACCGCAUACGACCUGAGGGUGAAAGUGGGGGACCGCAAGGCCUCAUGCUAUAGGAGCGGCCGAUGUCUGAUUAGCUAGUUGGUGGGGUAAAGGCCUACCAAGGCGACGAUCAGUAGCUGGUCUGAGAGGACGAUCGGCCAGACUGGGACUGAGACACGGCCCAGACUCCUACGGGAGGCAGCAGUGGGGAAUUUUGGACAAUGGGCGAAAGCCUGAUUCAGCAAUGCCGCGUGUGUGAAGAAGGCCUUCGGGUUGUAAAGCACUUUUGUCCGGAAAGAAAUGGCUCUGGUUAAUACCUGGGGUCGAUGACGGUACCGUAAGAAUAAGCACCGGCUAACUACGUGCCAGCCGCCGCAGUAA